GGUCAAGCGAACAAGUGCAUGUGGUGGAUGCCUUGGCGAUUACAGGCGAUGAAGGACGCGGUAGCCUGCGAAAAGCUUCGGGGAGCUGGCAAACGAGCUUUGAUCCGGAGAUGUCCGAAUGGGGAAACCCGGCCCGAAUGGGUCAUCCCUGACUGAAUACAUAGGUCAGGGAAGCGAACGCGGCGAACUGAAACAUCUAAGUAGCUGCAGGAACAGAAAUCAACCGAGAUUCCCAAAGUAGUGGCGAACGAAAUGGGAAGAGCCUUGUACUCUUUAGCAGCAUUGUUAGCAGAACGGGAUGGAAAGCCCGGCCAUAGCAGGUGAUAGCCCUGUAUGCGAAAACAGCGUUGUGGAACUAGGUGUACGACAAGUAGGGCGGGACACGUGAAAUCCUGUCUGAAGAUGGGGGGACCAUCCUCCAAGGCUAAAUACUCGUAAUCGACCGAUAGUGAACCAGUACCGUGAGGGAAAGGCGAAAAGAACCCCGGGAGGGGAGUGAAAUAGAUCCUGAAACCGCAUGCAUACAAACAGUCGGAGCCUGGAAACGGGUGACGGCGUACCUUUUGUAUAAUGGGUCAGCGACUUACAUUCAGUGGCAAGCUUAACCGAUUAGGGAAGGCGUAGCGAAAGCGAGUCCGAAUAGGGCGUUGAGUCGCUGGGUGUAGACCCGAAACCAGAUGAUCUAUCCAUGGCCAGGUUGAAGGUGCGGUAACACGUACUGGAGGACCGAACCCACUAACGUUGAAAAGUUAGGGGAUGAGCUGUGGAUAGGGGUGAAAGGCUAAACAAAUCUGGAAAUAGCUGGUUCUCUCCGAAAACUAUUUAGGUAGUGCCUCGUGUCUCACCUUCGGGGGUAGAGCACUGUCAUGGUUGGGGGGUCUAUUGCUGAUUACCCCGCCAUAGCAAACUCCGAAUACCGAAGAGUGCAAUCACGGGAGACAGACAUCGGGUGCUAACGUCCGGUGUCAAGAGGGAAACAACCCAGACCGCCAGCUAAGGUCCCAAAGAUUGGCUAAGUGGGAAACGAAGUGGGAAGGCUAAAACAGUCAGGAGGUUGGCUUAGAAGCAGCCACCCUUUAAAGAAAGCGUAAUAGCUCACUGAUCGAGUCGUCCUGCGCGGAAGAUGUAACGGGGCUAAGCCAGUCACCGAAGCUGCGGACGCACGCAAGUGCGUGGUAGGAGAGCGUUCUGUAAGCCUGUGAAGGUGUCUUGUAAAGGAUGCUGGAGGUAUCAGAAGUGCGAAUGCUGACAUGAGUAGCGAUAAAGGGGGUGAAAGGCCCCCUCGCCGUAAGCCCAAGGUUUCCUACGCAACGUUCAUCGGCGUAGGGUGAGUCGGCCCCUAAGGCGAGGCAGAGAUGCGUAGCUGAUGGGAAGCAGGUUAAUAUUCCUGCACCGUCGUAUGAUGCGAUGGGGGGACGGAUCGCGGAAGGUUGUCCGGGUGUUGGAAGUCCCGGUCCCUGCAUUGGAGAAGGCGCUUAGGCAAAUCCGGGCGCGGAAUUCAAGGAUGUGGGGCGAGCGGCCUAGUGCUGCGAAGCAAUUGGAAGUGGUUCCAAGAAAAGCCUCUAAGCUUCAGUCAUACGAGACCGUACCGCAAACCGACACAGGUGGGCGAGAUGAGUAUUCUAAGGCGCUUGAGAGAACUCGGGAGAAGGAACUCGGCAAAUUGGUACCGUAACUUCGGGAUAAGGUACGCCCUUGUAGCUUGACUGGCCUGCGCCAGGAGGGUGAAGGGGUUGCAAUAAAAUGGUGGCUGCGACUGUUUAAUAAAAACACAGCACUCUGCAAACACGAAAGUGGACGUAUAGGGUGUGACGCCUGCCCGGUGCCGGAAGAUUAAAUGAUGGGGUGCAAGCUCUUGAUUGAAGUCCCGGUAAACGGCGGCCGUAACUAUAACGGUCCUAAGGUAGCGAAAUUCCUUGUCGGGUAAGUUCCGACCUGCACGAAUGGCGUAACGAUGGCCACACUGUCUCCUCCCGAGACUCAGCGAAGUUGAAGUGUUUGUGAUGAUGCAAUCUCCCCGCGGCUAGACGGAAAGACCCCAUGAACCUUUACUGUAGCUUUGCAUUGGACUUUGAACCGAUCUGUGUAGGAUAGGUGGGAGGCUUUGAAGCGUGGACGCUAGUUCACGUGGAGCCGUCCUUGAAAUACCACCCUGGUUUGUUUGAGGUUCUAACCUUGGCCCGUGAAUCCGGGUCGGGGACAGUGCAUGGUAGGCAGUUUGACUGGGGCGGUCUCCUCCCAAAGUGUAACGGAGGAGUUCGAAGGUACGCUUGGUACGGUCGGACAUCGUACCUAAAGUGCAAUGGCAAAAGCGUGCUUAACUGCGAGACCGACAAGUCGAGCAGGUGCGAAAGCAGGACAUAGUGAUCCGGUGGUUCUGAAUGGAAGGGCCAUCGCUCAACGGAUAAAAGGUACUCUGGGGAUAACAGGCUGAUACCGCCCAAGAGUUCAUAUCGACGGCGGUGUUUGGCACCUCGAUGUCGGCUCAUCUCAUCCUGGGGCUGUAGCCGGUCCCAAGGGUAUGGCUGUUCGCCAUUUAAAGAGGUACGUGAGCUGGGUUUAAAACGUCGUGAGACAGUUUGGUCCCUAUCUGCCGUGGGCGUUGGAAUCUUGACGGGGGCUGCUCCUAGUACGAGAGGACCGGAGUGGACGUACCGCUGGUGUACCUGUUGUCUCGCCAGAGGCAUCGCAGGGUAGCUAUGUACGGAAGAGAUAACCGCUGAAAGCAUCUAAGCGGGAAACUCGCCUGAAGAUGAGGAUUCCCUGGAGGCUUGACCUCCUUGAAGGGUCGUUCGAGACCAGGACGUUGAUAGGCUGGGUGUGGAAGCGCAGUAAUGCGUUAAGCUAACCAGUACUAAUUGCCCGUAAGGCUUGAUCCU
rfam:Cupriavidus metallidurans CH34 megaplasmid, complete sequence.